rnacentral:rRNA from 12 species
GCGAAGUGACCGAAUGGGGUCCCAGGAAAAGCCACUAAGCUUCAGCUUGCAGCUGACCGUACCGCAAACCGACACUGGUGCGCGAGAUGAGUAUUCUCAGGCGCUUGAGAGAACUCGGGAGAAGGAACUCGGCAAAUUGACACCGUAACUUCGGGAUAAGGUGUGCCCUAGUAGCGUGUAGAGAACAUCGAAGCGUGAAUGGGUUGCAAAAAAUAGGUGGCUGCGACUGUUUACUAAAAAC